CCGGUGUUGGUGUGGCCGGUGUUGAGCCAGCCGGUGUUCACACCGCCGGGGUUGAAGCCACCGGUGUUGGUGUCGCCGGCGUUGAA
rnacentral:tRNA from 1 species